AGCUGUUAUACACAAACAGGAAGUAAAAUCAAUAUUGACGAUUACAACACUAAUGACAUUUCUGAUGUUGAGAAAUGGAACCCUGAUGGUGGAAAACGUUGAUGGUGCAAACGGUUUUGCUAAAAUUUCUCUUGAAGGGGCAGAGUUAAAAGUCAAUUACAUCACAAUACUACAUAUUAUCAACCCACAAUGAGGAAAAACAUUCUUUAAUACAAGAAUUAGUAACUAUUAACCCACAUAGACAACGAAGAGGAUUAAUCAAUAUCAUAGGAUCGGGUAUGAAAUGGCUAAGUGGUACAAUGGACGAUAGCGACAGAGAAGAAAUAGAACAAUAUCUGCAAACAAGAGACGAGAAUAACCAUGCAAUAUAGAAAAUUCAAAUCAAAAUAUAGAAAUAAAUAAUGUAUUUAAUGUAACAAUUGCAAAACUUAAAGAAGCUAUAGAUAAAGAUAGGGAAAAUUCACAAGAAAAUUUAAUGAAAUUGCUGCAAGUGAUCAACAACUAGAAAGGAAAAUAAUGUAUCUUUAUACUCUGUUAAAAAUUAAAAUUUUAUUAGACAAUGUUGAACACAUACAAAACAAACCUUGUGGCUACAAAAAUGAAUAUAAUGCAUAACACCAAAAAAUAGUCCGUUAAAAUAUAGAUUUAUAUAAAAUACAAAAUAUGAAAGUUAGCACAGCAUAAUAUAAAAAUAAUGA